rnacentral:rRNA from 1 species
AUGGCAAGUGCAAACACAGGCGGUUUUCGCCUUGUGAGGUGCCCAAAGUGUCUUAACAUUCUACCAGAACCUGCAAAUGAUUCAGUCUACCAGUGCGGUGGAUGUAACACCACUCUUAGAGCUAAAAUCCGUGUCAGCGAUGCACAAAAUGUGGCUACCAAACAAGUUCGACAAGACUCUGGGGAUUACUCUGUUCUUCCCACUGUGAGCAAUGGGGCGUCGACAAAACAAGUUCGGCAAGACUCUAGUAAUUACUCUGUUGUUACCUCUGGGAGCAAUGGGGUGUCUCCCCAAAGCAACGAACUGGGUUCUAUUGGUGCUGCUGCGGAUGAUUCCAUCACUCUUGGUGGUCCACGCACCGAGAUCCAGCAAGAGGGCAAUGGCACCGGAAGCAGCGAGAAGGGUGAUAUUAUGUCAGAUGAGGAGAAUGUUAUGGAGGUUGCAGAUACUGAGAGCAGCGAAGACGACAGUUCUGAUGGCCAGGACACCAAUGGACAAAUGGAAGAUCUUGCUGCCCUUAUGCAACCCAGUGGCAGCGGGAAUGGCACACAUAUAGUAGAUUCUGACAAAGAAGAGAACAACACGGUGGAGCAAAGUGCAGAGAAUUCAGAGGCUUGCAAAAUAAACCAAGAUGGUGAUAUGGAAAGCAGCCUGAAUACCCCAGAGCAGAACAUGACGUCAUCUGAGGAUCGAGAAUUAGCUAGCAAUUUGCCAGAAUCUGAGGAGAGUGGAGCACGCAAAACUGAACCCGAACCCGCGGCAAGCAAGAGAAGCAAGCUGGUAAGGGUGCAUUCUCGGUCUUGUGACCUCCGAGAAGUGCCUGGAGUAUCAGUUGACUCGCUUAAUUUCCACUCUUCCCGGACUUCAUUCCAGUCAAAAAGCUUCAGGGCAAGCGAACCCCUUCAAUCGAAGAUUAUGAAGACGGUGGAUGAAUUGAAAGGUGACCUUUCUGAAAUCUUCAAUGAACCUUCAGAUUGCAAGCCAAGGGCACGCCGUCCACAUCCGCUGAAACAAGAUGGUUACAGCCAACCUCUUACAGCUUAUCAUCCUGCUGUCAAGCAUUCUGGCUAUGCAUCUCGCCUGAGCAGGUCUGGCCAAGUUGCUCCCCAUGGCCAUGGACUGCCCUUACCUCGGUAUGGCCGGCGCAGCGCCUACUCAUACAUUCGCAGUGGGCAACUGGAAAUGAGACCUUGCCCUCACCAAUGCCACCACAGCUGCCGCCCACCUUGUUGCAGCUCCUGGAAACAAGAACCUGCACCGCAGAAGCCACCAGCUAUGGAGACAAAGCGGCGGCCUGCCUCGAGAAAUCUCUGCCGGCCAGUCCUACGGGGCGCGCCGUUCGUCCUUUGCUCGAACUGUCUGAGGCUCGUCCAGCUGCCCACCGAUUUUGCCAUUCCGAGCAGAGGAACACGCAGGCUGCAGUGUGGCUCCUGCGCACAAGUUCUCUCCUACUCUUACAGAGACCCCAACAGAAAGAAACUUGAGUCACCAUUUGGGGGCGAUGAGUCCAGCACAGAUGACUCGGAAAUUCACCAGGUAAGCGAUGACCAUAACACUGGUGCCCAUCAAGCUGAACCAUACUCGGACUCGUACUCGGAAGAAUACGGCAUCUCGGCUGGUGUGAGCUAUUCUACCGAGGACGAACGGCCCCUGCAUGUGUCAAGGAACUCGUCUUUCAACACCAUUGAUGAAAGAAGUGGCAAGGAGUCCAAGCUUCAUCGGUUGAUGGGGUACUCUUCAGCGAGUGAGCUGAUGCGGCAUUCUCCUGAUCUGUAUGAGAGUUUCAGCAGACGAACGCCUAAUGCAAGAACAUAUGACGUGAAAGGCAAAGGCGUUUGCAUGACUGAUGGUUCAGAUGCUAAAGAUGGUGCAGUGAAGGGAUCAAAAGCAAAAGAGAGAAGAAUGGGCUUGCCAUUCCAAGGGAUGUUCAAGAAAGGGAUUCAUGGACUGGAAUCUCUCAGGCUCGGGUCAUAG